UCAUUGGAGAGACAGACAGCAUUGGUGAAUUUCUCCCCUGUGAUGAAUUGCUCACCUUCGGGAUUCUGGUCAUGGCAAGAGAAGCGUGGUAUCGUCAGCCUGGGUCAGACCCAGGAGUGGAACUGAUGCCUGCUAACUCCAUGUUGAACUCUCUCUGAGGAGACCAAACUUUUCCCCCAAAAGCCUGCAGCAUUUUUACAUCUCACCCAGCAGUAAAUGCUCCUACUUCUCCACACUCUCUCCUGCACUUGUUUCUUCCUUUGCUGGAUUACACUGUGAUUUAGAGCCACACUUUCCUUCAGGAGUCAUGAUGGCGACUGUCCUGGUUAGUUUUAUGUAGGGCAUUUUCUUAAUGAAUGAUUGACACGGGAGGGCCCAACACAUGGUGGGUGGUGUCAUCCAUGGGCUGGUGGUUGUAGGUUCUACAUGAAAACAGGCUAAACAAGCCAGUAAACAGCACUCCUCCAUGGUCUGUACUUCAGCUUCUGUCUCCAGGUUCCUGCGCUGUGUGAGCUCCUGUCCUGGUAUCCUUUUUGAUGAACAGUGAUUUGGAAAGCCAGAUAAAUAAACCCUGUCCUUCCCAA
rnacentral:lncRNA from 1 species